rnacentral:lncRNA from 1 species
CGUCUAUAAAUGGGAGGUGGAAGCGCCUGGUGUCGCCCAGAGCCAUGGCGGGCGCCCGGGACCCGUGAGCUGGGGGCACUGGGAGCCACUGGGAGGGACUGGGAGGGACUGGGAAGCACUGGGAGCACGCUGGGAGGGACUGGGAGCACACUGGGAGGGACUGGGAGGCACUGGGAGCACACUGGGAGGGACUGGGAGGCACUGGGAGCACACUGGAGGGCACUGGGAGCAUGCUGGGAGGGACUGGAAGCACACUGGGAGGGGCUGGAAGGGACUGGGAGCACAUUGGGAGGGACUGGGAGGCACUGGGAGCAUAUUGGGAGGGACUGGGAGGCAUUGGGAGAACACUGGAGGGCACUGGGAGGGACUGGGAGCACGCUGGGAGGGACUGGAAAGGACUGGGAGCACUCUGGGAGGCACUGGGAGCACACUGGGAGGGACUGGGAGGGACUGGGAGCACUCUGGGAGGGACUGGGAGGCACUGGGAGCACACUGGAGGGCACUGGGAGCAUGCUGGGAGGGACUGGAAGCACACUGGGAGGGGCUGGAAGGGACUGGGAGCACAUUGGGAGGGACUGGGAGGCACUGGGAGCAUAUUGGGAGGGACUGGGAGGCAUUGGGACAACACUGGAGGGCACUGGGAGGGACUGGGAGCACGCUGGGAGGGACUGGGAGGCACUGGGAGCAUAUUGGGAGGGACUGGGAGGUACUGGGAGCACUCUGGGAGAGACUGGGAGGCACUGGGAGCAUACUGGGAGGGACUGGGAGCACACUGGGAGGGACUGGGAACAUGCUGGGAGGCACUGGAAGGGACUGGGAGGCACUGGGAGCACACUGGGAGCACACUGGGAGGGACAGGGAUGGAGACUGGGAUGAACUGGGGAGCGUCGGGAGGAGCUGGAGGAGCACUGGGAUGGGAAAACGGGAAAGCUGGGGGGAACUGGGAUUGGACUGGGCGGCACUGGAGGACGGGCUGAGGUUUACUGGGGAUACUGGAAAGGACUGGGGGAAACUGGGAUGGAUUGGGAUGGGCUGGGAAUACACUGGGAAGGACUGGGUGGGACUGGGAGGGUCUGCGGCUUACUGGGGAUACUGGAAAAGACUGGGAGAAACUGGGAUGACAACGGGAGGGACUGGGCUGUACUGGGAGCUCAACACGGUGAUGGUGGCUGGGACGGGGAGUGCCAGUGGAAGAUGGGAGCGAGCUCACCCCAUACUGGGAGCACUGGGAGGUACUGGGAGGUACUGGGAGCACUGGGAGGGGGUAACUGGGCCAGGACAGGCUGGGGG